ACUCUACUAAACCUAAAGGCGCAAUGAAAGUGAAGGUCCGCCUCGCGCGGACCGAAGGAGGAUGGGCCCGUUUACGGGCGGGCCCCGCACUCCCGGGGCGUCUCGUUCUCAUCGCGAGAAGAGGCGCACCCAGAGCGUACACGCUGGGACCCGAAAGAUGGUGAACUAUGCCUGGUCAGGACGAAGUCAGGGGAAACCCUGAUGGAGGUCCGUAGCGAUUCUGACGUGCAAAUCGAUCGUCGGAACUGGGUAUAGGGGCGAAAGACUAAUCGAACCUUCUAGUAGCUGGUUCCUUCCGA
rnacentral:rRNA from 1 species